UACGGGGGGUGCGAGCGUUGUCCGGAAUCACUGGGCGUAAAGGGCGCGUAGGUGGUUUGAUAAGGGUGUGGUGAAAAUCCGGGGCUCAACCCCGGAUCUGCCGUGCCGACUGUCAAACUCGAGGACUGUAGAGGCAGACGGAAUUCCGGGUGUAGCGGUGGAAUGCGUAGAGAUCCGGAGGAAGACCGGUGGCGAAGGCGGUCUGCUGGGCAGUUUCUGACACUGAGGCGCGACAGCGUGGGGAGCAAACAGG
rnacentral:rRNA from 1 species